UGUUAAUGUUGACAGAAAAUAAAAAAUGUUAUGGUUAAAAAUGUUCAUGUUUUACUUUGACCUGUUGUAGGCUCCUAAGUGGACCUUAAGGGUAAAAACCAAACCAAACUGAAGAAAAUGAAGAUAAAAACUAAACAAACAACCAAACAAAUUAAUCACUAACCUAAAACUCCUCCAGAGUGUCUCUUUUGGGCCAUUUUAGCCAGUCCCCAAGCCCAGAUGAAGGAGGAGGGUUGGAAUUGGGACAU